rnacentral:rRNA from 1 species
CCUACGGGAGGCAGCAGUGAGGAAUAUGGGUCAAUGGACGAGAGUCUGAACCAGCCAAGCAGCGUGAAGGAUGACUGCCCUAUGGGUUGUAAACUUCUUCUAUAAAGGAAUAAAACGAGGCACGUGUGCCUUUUUGCAUGUACUUUAUGAAUAAGGAUCGGCUAACUCCGUGCCAGCAGCCGCGGUAAUACGGAGGAUCCGAGCGUUAUCCGGAUUUAUUGGGUUUAAAGGGAGCGUAGAUGGGUUGUUAAGUCAGUUGUGAAAGUUUGGGGCUCAACCGUAAAAUUGCAAUUGAUACUGGCAGUCUUGAGUACAGUUGAGGGAGGCGGAAUUCGUGGUGUAGCGGUGAAAUGCGUAGAUAUCACGAGGAACCCCGAUGGCGAAGGCAGCUUACUAAACUGUGACUGACAUUGAUGCUCGAAAGCGUGGGUAGCAAACAGGAUUAGAUACCCGUGUAGUC